GAAAACUUGAAAACUACCAUUGGAUCGAGAAAUGGACGUCCGAGAUUCGUUUACGUCAUCAUGAGUUAAAAUUUAACUCCGAGUAAAAUUUUAACUCAUGAGUGAAUCUGCGAGUUAAAUUUUAACUCAUGAUGACGUGGACGAAUCUCGGACGUCCAUUUCUCGAUUCAACGGUAGUUUUCAAGUUUCC
rnacentral:pre_miRNA from 1 species